GGGCCCGCACAAGCGGUGGAGCAUGUGGUUUAAUUCGACGCAACGCGAAGAACCUUACCAAAUCUUGACAUCGAUGGAAUUUUAAUGAAAAUUAGAAGUGCCCUUUCAGGGAACCUGAAGACAGGUGGUGCAUGGUUGUCGUCAGCUCGUGUCGUGAGAUGUUGGGUUAAGUCCCGCAACGAGCGCAACCCUUACUAUAUGUUACUAACAGGUUAAGCUGAGGACUCAUAUGGGACUGCCGGUGUAAGCCGGAGGAAGGUGAGGAUGACGUCAAAUCAUCAUGCCCCUUAUGAUUUGGGCUACACACGUGCUACAAUGGACAAUACAGAGGGAUGCCAACUCGCGAGAGGGAGCAGACCCCUUAAAACUGUUCUCAGUUCGGAUUGUAGUCUGAAACUCGACUACAUGAAGUCGGAAUCGCUAGUAAUCGCAGGUCAGCAUACUG
rnacentral:rRNA from 1 species